CGCGUAGGCGGUUUGUUAAGUCGGUUGUGAAAGCCCGGGGCUCAACCCCGGAGAGUCGACCGAUACUGGCAAACUAGAGUACAGAAGAGGUAGCUGGAAUUCCUGGUGUAGCGGUGAAAUGCGUAGAUAUCAGGAGGAACACCUGAGGCGAAGGCGGGCUACUGGGCUGAUACUGACGCUGAUGCGCGAAAGCCAGGGAGCAAACG
rnacentral:rRNA from 1 species